UGACGUCGACACCUCGAAGUAACUUUUCCAGCAGCUAUGUAGCAAGCUAGCUCCUGCAAACCAGGAAGCCGGCGUGCUGAAUGGAUUUGUUUUAUUGCUUCUCUUUGCUGGCCGUCUGGUGGUGCUGCAUGGUUGUGGACCAGAGAGCCACAAAGACACAAAGUGUUCCAGACAGCAGGUGACUCCUAAAGCAUCACGCAGGAGGCGGGGUCAUGCCAGCAGGAGGAGAAGGCGACGUGGAGGCGGGGCCCGGCGUGGAAAGCGAGAGCGCGACUGUCAGACAUGCGGACUCCGGCGCGGUGAUGGAUGCACACCCAUUCCUCGUUCAGUUAGUUCUAUUUAGUGCCACCUGGGUCCCGCCUUCAGUGUUGGAUCAUUCUCUCUGGCUCUUCCUUUCGAGACCGAUGCUUCGGUGCUGUUUUGGCUUCCACACCUCUUUCUUCAGUGACCACUGACUCUCGGAGCUGGUGACUAAAUCCUCCAUAACUCAACUCCUGUGUGUGCCUCACGACAGAAGACACAACGCAGAACAGUACCAGGUGAUGGCGCUAAAAGUCAUGUUUGAGCGACUCAGGAACGUUUUCCGGGCUAUUUGCUUUCAAACGUUCAUGACGCUAUUUUUUUUUUCUUGAUGCGAUCAUGACGUUGAUUGUGGCAGUAUAUAAUUAUAUGUUUCAGCCAUAUUUUGAACUUGGUAACCAAACCAAACAAAAAGUUGAACAGAAUCUUUAUUAAUGUAUUCAGCUCCAAUGCAAUGUGUUUCCACAUCACACUUUCAAACCCCAUCAUUAUUUGAUACUUGUUUAUAUGGACAAACGUGCUGUUUUAGACUGCAGUAUUGAUCAAUUAUUAUUAUUAUUAUUAUUGUGUGCUGAGCUGUUGUAUAACUGCUGCCUCCUAGUA